rnacentral:rRNA from 1 species
CAAUAGCGUAUAUUUAAGUUGCUGCAGUUAAAAAGCUCGUAGUUGGAUUUCGGGUGGGAAUGGCCGGUCCGCCGUUUCGGUGUGCACUUGCUACGCCCACCUUGCUGCCGGGGACGUGCUCUUGAGUUCACGCUCGGGACACGGAGUCGGCGAGGUUACUUUGAGUAAAUUAGAGUGUUCAAAGCAGGCCUACGCUCUGAAUACAUUAGCAUGGAAUAACACGAUAGGACUCUGGCCUAUCUUGUUGGUCUGUAGGACCGGAGUAAUGAUUAAGAGGGACAGUCGGGGGCAUUCGUAUUUCAUUGUCAGAGGUGAAAUUCUCGGAUUUAUGAAAGACGAACUACUGCGAAAGCAUUUGCCAAGGAUGUUUUCAUUAA